ensembl:lncRNA
UUUGGUGUGUGUGUGUGCGUGUGUGUACAGAAAUUGAAUAUUAAGAUUAAAAGGAGCUCUUGCCUCUUUCUGAUGGAAGAACUGAACACUCCCAGACCUCUCAGUGACCUUUUAGGGGAUGCUUUGGGGACUCUAAAAUCUUAGAAGAAGCAAAGGCUCAAGACCAUGAACAUUAUUAACAUGAGAUGCUGAGAAGGUCUUUGAUCGAGUGGAGUGGAAUUAUUUGAUAACAGCCUUCAUACAAUACUGAAAUGGAAUAACUUUUCAAGGUAGAUUUCCUUCUCGUAUGCCCUGUAGCAGAUGUCAAGGCAAAUGCAGACAAGUGAAAAGUUUUAUUCUUUUUCGGAAAUAUUUACAACACGGGCAUAUUUCAUCACAAAGCUAAUGAGCAGUGUAUUAGCAGGAAGAUUACAAAGGUUACCAUCCCACUGAGAUCAUACCUUGCUGUUGCAAAUGUAAAUUGAAACGUUACCUUCUCGAAGAGAUGUGAAAAAGAUUUUGCUGUAGUGUCUGAGACAAUAAAUUCUGGGACAGAAUGGUAAUGGAGAAAUGAAUGCAUCAAAUUAAAACUUGGCAACAGAGAAAAAAAAAUAUGUUCUCCCCCCACCCAAAUUCAAAAGACACAUUCUCCAGAUGUAAGGAAAUGAAUCACUAGAGAGUAAACCUGCAUUAUCCAUGUACUGAAUCCGAGGAAUGAAGCAGGAUUCAUUCAGGGCUGUUUCUCUUUGAGGAUGGCAAAGACUAGCUGAUUUAUGUGAGAAAUUUUAAGAGUAAUCUUUCCCCUUGGACAUCUCAGAGUCCCUUGUUUUAGGAUAAAAAUCAAAUGCUGCAGGUUUUUGGGUUGCAUUUCUUUUUCCUCCUUAGUGUCAUUUUAAGACAAAACUUCCAGAAGAUUUUUCAUGAACUCCUACGUUCUACUGCCAGAAGUUCAUCUUGACAACCAGCGCAACCCUUUUUGUUGCUCAUUUUAACAUGCUAGCCUAUUUUGCAUUGCCUGAUACCAACAAGGAGGGGGAAAAUCCCUAUUUGAACUUUACCCCGUGACAUAAUAUCUUUCUUUGUACUCCAAAACUUUAUAGGUCUCCCUUGCUAUUCUGCCUUAUUGAAAACUCAUGCCUUAUUUGCUGCUCAUUAUUAUCUUUUCAAUAUUUCUGCAUCUUAAGGUUCCUUGUAUUAUACAACAUUUGUUUCUAACAAUUUUUCUUCUGCAAAAGGUAUGCUUUUGCACUGUUGAACUGAAUUGCACAGUGUUAUUAUCUGUCAGUUUUUCUAAUUCUUUGGGUGUCUGUCAUGAGUUACACAUCAUCCAACAGAAGUGUGUGCAGAGUAUAUUAGUUAAUAGUCUGUAGAAUCCAAAUAUCUGGCAUGAAUGGAGGAUGCAAACAGUUUUAAAGACAGCAGAAGGUGGGUUUGAGCCUUCAUUUACUUAUGAAAUAGUAAAAAUUAAUAAAUGGAUGUGGAAGACAGUCCACUCUAAAUACAUACGAUGCCGUGCUAAAGUCACAGAGCUGCUAUAUUUUUAAUGCACUUGCAAAGUUUAAUCUGCAAAUUUCAUUAAUAUAUUCCUGUAGAUCCAGGAUGGCUUCUCCUCAGGAGUCUCUACUUUCUGGAUCAUAAAGUUGUCUUCACUGUAAUUUAGGAACCUCUGCGAUGAUGCAUGUUCAGCUGUAUUUGUUACUCAACAGAUGUCUGGGUAGUUAAAUUCCUCCAUGAGCCUUUAUCAGUACUUCUAUUCUGGGAUUCCCAACUGGUUCAAGAUGUACCUCUCCUAGUCGGCAGCAGUACCAUCGCUCAGAGAUCAGCAUGCACAGCAUGGGCCACGGUUGUUCAGCACAGGUCUCGGGUGGCUGGUUGCCCUGAUCGCUGAUAGUCUUACUGCUUGAGUUGGCCAUGGCAGCUGGGGCUCUGCCCUGCUUUCGUAAUUCCCGAGAUCAUUCACUGUGGUAACUGUCACUGCUCUUCCUGUGGGGCUGCUGCCUGGGCUUGCUGCUCCUCCAUAAAUUCUGACAACACCUGCUGUUCUCGCUAUUCCCUCAUAUAUUACAUCUACAACAGAAGCAUUGAAACACACGCUGCUCACACUUCAUUUGAACAGGCACCUUCCCAAUGUAACACACUGAUUCUAAUGCUGCCUCUUUGAGGGGUUUGGUUUCAAUAAAACAGGCGUGAUAAUGAGUUAACAACACUGAAGUUGAAUUUUCUUCAGACCUACCCAGGGCUCCUUGGCUGUCCCAGCUGCUCUUCCUGCACACUGGGUCAGCUCUUGUCUUGGAGAACCACUCUUGCCUUGUAGAACCGCUCAUGCCCACUUGGUCACUGAUUGCAAAGAGUCGCCAGCAUGCGUUCAGUCUUCUGCCAGUGGGAUGAACACAUGAUAGCAAUGUGGGAGAGUUUUAGGCACAUGCUGCCAGGCUGCUCUAUUCCCUUAGGCUACUUCUUUGCAUUACAUAUUAAGGAGCUUUCCCCAGAGCUGGUCAAAGUGUAAAAUAAUAACCUGAUUUGCAACCAGAAGUGUUGAAUCUGGAUCACUAUGAUUCAGGGAAUCAUAAUAUUAGUUAUUAAUGAGUACUCAGCCCACCGCUGGGUAUCUGUGAAAAUGCUCCCCAAUCCUCAGAGUUUAAGGAAUUCUAGGCUGAAUGAUAUUCACACAGAAAUUUACAUGUUGUCAUUCUUCCAUCUAGAAAUAUUUGUCAUCCAGAGGCCAGAAAAAAUCCCAGCUGUUUUUCGGUUUUCUGAGCAAUCAGAAAUGAAUAAACACAGUCAAAAUAAAUGCUCAAUUCUGAGUGAGCUGAAAAGCAAUUGUUCUCCUUCUGCACUGACUGUGCAACCAUAAGUAUUAAAUUUACAGGUGUUGGAAACAGUUUGCAAAACAUUUCCUCUUAAGAAAAGGAUUAUAUUUCCCACCUCCCAGCAAAGGGAUAGCUAAACUCAGCCGUAAUUUCAACGAGUCUUAUUUUGCACAGCAGCAACUGAAGUUGCUCCACUGACACAGGAAGUUUUCACUGCAUUAUCGGCCCACUUUGCUUUGUCUGAAGCCAAAGCACUUCCCUCUCCUGCUGAACACAGGCAAGAAAGGAGGGAGGUGCAGGAGUAUCUUUUGAAUUGCCCCAUUUGCAAGAAGGAGCUUAAGGCUUUUUGAC